GUUUAUGCCGCAUGGCAUAAGAGUGAAAGGCGCUUUCGGGUGUCGCUGAUGGAUGGACCCGCGGUGCAUUAGCUAGUUGGCGAGGUAACGGCUCGCCAAGGCCACGAUGCAUAGCCGACCUGAGAGGGUGAUCGGCCACACUGGGACUGAGACACGGCCCAGACUCCUACGGGAGGCAGCAGUAGGGAAUCUUCGGCAAUGGACGAAAGUCUGACCGAGCAACGCCGCGUGAGUGAAGAAGGUUUUCGGAUCGUAAAACUCUGUUGUUAGAGAAGAACAAGGACGUUAGUAACUGAACGUCCCCUGACGG
rnacentral:rRNA from 1 species